rnacentral:rRNA from 1 species
UGGGGAAUUGUUCGCAAUGGGCGCAAGCCUGACGACGCAACGCCGCGUGGAGGAUGAAGGUCUUCGGAUUGUAAACUCCUGUUGAUCGGGACGAAAAGCUUCGACCUAACACGUCGGAGACUGACGGUACCGGUUGAGGAAGCCACGGCUAACUCUGUGCCAGCAGCCGCGGUAAUACAGAGGUGGCAAGCGUUGUUCGGAAUUACUGGGCGUAAAGGGCGCGUAGGCGGCCUUCUAAGUCGGACGUGAAAGCCCCAGGCUUAACCUGGGAACUGCGUCCGAUACUGGGAGGCUUGGAUUCGGGAGAGGGAUGUGGAAUUCCAGGUGUAGCGGUGAAAUGCGUAGAUAUCUGGAGGAACACCGGUGGCGAAGGCGGCAUCCUGGACCGAGAUCGACGCUGAGGCGCGAAAGCUAGGGGAGCAAACG